GACGUAGGGCGCAAGCGUUGUCCGGAUUUAUUGGGCGUAAAGAGCUCGUAGGCGGUUUGUCGCGUCUGCUGUGAAAACGCGAGGCUCAACCUCGCGCCUGCAGUGGGUACGGGCAGACUAGAGUGCGGUAGGGGAGAUUGGAAUUCCUGGUGUAGCGGUGGAAUGCGCAGAUAUCAGGAGGAACACCGGUGGCGAAGGCGGGUCUCUGGGCCGAUACUGACGCUGAGGAGCGAAAGCGUGGGGAGCGAACAGG
rnacentral:rRNA from 1 species